rnacentral:sRNA from 1 species
UUUUUUGUAUUGUUUU